rnacentral:misc_RNA from 1 species
GAUGAAGAACGCAGCGAAAUGCGAUACGUAGUGUGAAUUGCAGAAUUCAGUGAAUCAUCGAAUCUUUGAACGCACAUUGCACCUCUCGGUAUUCCGGGAGGUAUGCCUGUUCGAGCGUCAUUUGUACCCUCAAGCUCUGCUUGGUGUUGGGUGUCUGUUCCGCCUCUGUGUGUGAACUCGCCUCAAAACAAUUGGCAGCCGGCGUACUUGUUUCGGAGCGCAGCACAUUUUGCGAUCCAGAUCAACGUACAGCGGCAUCCAAGAAGCCUUAUUUAACGCUCUUGACCUCGGAUCAGGUAGGGAUACCCGCUGAACUUAAGCAUAUCAAUAAGCGGAGGA